AUGCACGCUGGCGGCGUGCUUAACACAUGCAAGUCGAACGGGAAACCUUUUAUUGAAGCUUCGGCAGAUUUAGCUGGUUUCUAGUGGCGGACGGGUGAGUAACGCGUGGGUAACCUGCCUUAUACAGGGGGAUAACAGUCAGAAAUGGCUGCUAAUACCGCAUACGCGCACAGAGCUGCAUGGCUCAGUGUGAAAAACUCCGGUGGUAUAAGAUGGACCCGCGUUGGAUUAGCUGGUUGGUGGGGUAACGGCCCACCAAGGCGACGAUCCAUAGCCGGCCUGAGAGGGUGAACGGCCACAUUGGGACUGAGACACGGCCCAGACUCCUACGGGAGGCAGCAGUGGGGAAUAUUGCACAAUGGGGGAAACCCUGAUGCAGCGACGCCGCGUGAAGGAAGAAGUAUCUCGGUAUGUAAACUUCUAUCAGCAGGGAAGAUAAUGACGGUACCUGACUAAGAAGCCCCGGCUAACUACGUG
rnacentral:rRNA from 1 species